UACGUAGGGCGCAAGCGUUGUCCGGAAUUAUUGGGCGUAAAGAGCUCGUAGGCGGUCUGUUGCGUCCGCUGUGAAAACUCGGGGCUCAACCCCGAGCCUGCAGUCGAUACGGGCAAACUAGAGUGUGGUAGGGGAGACUGGAAUUCCUGGUGUAGCGGUGAAAUGCGCAGAUAUCAGGAGGAACACCGGCGGCGAAGGCGGCACUCUGGGCCGAUACUGACACUGAGGAGCGAAAGCGUGGGGAGCGAACAGG
rnacentral:rRNA from 1 species